rnacentral:rRNA from 1 species
AACGAACGCUGGCGGCAUGCCUAACACAUGCAAGUCGAACGAACCCUUCGGGGUUAGUGGCGCACGGGUGCGUAACGCGUGGGAAUCUGCCCUUUGCUUCGGAAUAACUCAGGGAAACUUGUGCUAAUACCGGAUGAUGUCUUCGGACCAAAGAUUUAUCGGCAAGGGAUGAGCCCGCGUAGGAUUAGGUAGUUGGUGGGGUAAAGGCCUACCAAGCCGACGAUCCUUAGCUGGUCUGAGAGGAUGAUCAGCCACACUGGGACUGAGACACGGCCCAGACUCCUACGGGAGGGAGCAGUGGGGAAUAUUGGACGAGGGGCGCAAGCCUGAUCCAGCAAUGCGGGGUGAGUGAUGAAGGCCCUCGGGUCGUAAAGCUCUUUUACCAGGGAUGAUAAUGACAGUACCUGGAGAAUAAGCACCGGCUAACUCCGUG